rnacentral:rRNA from 1 species
AACGAACGCUGGCGGCGUGCUUAACACAUGCAAAUCGAACGCGAAAGGGACUUCGGUCCUGAGUAAAGUGGCGCACGGGUGAGUAACGCGUAGAUAACCUGUCUUCGAGUCUGGAAUAAUACACCGAAAGGGGUACUAAUACCGGAUAUUCUUGCGUUUCAUAAGAGGCGUAAGCAAAGGUGGCCUCUGCAUAUGCUACUGCUUAAAGAGGGGUCUGCGUACCAUUAGCUAGUAGGUAGGGUAAUGGCCUACCUAGGCUACGAUGGUUAGCGGGUCUGAGAGGAUGAUCCGCCACACUGGCACUGGAACACGGGCCAGACUCCUACGGGAGGCAGCAGUGAGGAAUAUUGCGCAAUGGGGGCAACCCUGACGCAGCGACGCCGCGUGAGUGAGGAAGGCCUUCGGGUCGUAAAGCUCUGUCAAAGGGAAAGAAAUGUAUAAUGGCUAAUACCUGUUAUAUUUGACGGUACCCUUAAAGGAAGCACCGGCUAACUCCGUGCCAGCAGCCGCCGCAG